UUGACUCUUUUGUAAAAGGUCUUUCUCAGAUAAAUGAUAAUGAUACAGAGGUUUUGUUUUUUACACUGAUGCCCCGGCGGUUAGGCCGAGACUCUUGUGUAAAAGCUGGGUGAUAGCUUAGCACACAAGGGUAGGGUUCUGUAAGAACUCGGUAAUGAUCCCUCCGCUGGUUCACCAACGGAGA
rnacentral:misc_RNA from 1 species